AUUGAACGCUGGCGGCAUGCCUUACACAUGCAAGUCGAACGGCAGCGGACCUUCGGGUGCCGGCGAGUGGCGAACGGGUGAGUAAUAUAUCGGAACGUACCUUUCAGUGGGGGAUAACGUAGCGAAAGUUACGCUAAUACCGCAUAUUCUGUGAGCAGGAAAGCAGGGGAUCGCAAGACCUUGCGCUGAUUGAGCGGCCGAUAUCAGAUUAGCUAGUUGGUGAGGUAAAGGCUCACCAAGGCGACGAUCUGUAGCGGGUCUGAGAGGACGAUCCGCCACACUGGAACUGAGACACGGUCCAGACUCCUACGGGAGGCAGCAGUGGGGAAUUUUGGACAAUGGGCGCAAGCCUGAUCCAGCCAUGCCGCGUGAGUGAAGAAGGCCUCGGGUUGUAAGACGUCUUUCGGUCCGGGAACGGAAAGUACG
rnacentral:rRNA from 1 species